GAUGAACGCUAGCGGCAGGCUUAACACAUGCAAGUCGAGGGGUAACAGGUUGUGCUUGCACAAUGCUGACGACCGGCGCACGGGUGCGUAACGCGUAUAGAACCUACCUUUAACUGGGGGAUAGCCCAGAGAAAUUUGGAUUAAUACUCCAUGGUAUCGAUGGAUGGCAUCAUUUAUUGAUUAAAGAUUUAUUGGUUAGAGAUGGCUAUGCGUUCUAUUAGCUAGUUGGUAUGGUAACGGCAUACCAAGGCUACGAUAGAUAGGGGUCCUGAGAGGGAGAUCCCCCACACUGGUACUGAGACACGGACCAG
rnacentral:rRNA from 1 species